CCUACGGGGGGCAGCAGUCGAGAAUCAUUCACAAUGGGGGAAACCCUGAUGGUGCGACGCCGCGUGGGGGAAUGAAGGUCUUCGGAUUGUAAACCCCUGUCAUGUGGGAGCAAAUUAAAAAGAUAGUACCACAAGAGGAAGAGACGGCUAACUCUGUGCCAGCAGCCGCGAUAAUACAGAGGUCUCAAGCGUUGUUCGGAAUCACUGGGCGGAAAGCGUGCGUAGGCUGUUUCGUAAGUCGUGUGUGAAAGGCGCGGGCUCAACCCGCGGACGGCACAUGAUACUGCGAGACUAGAGUAAUGGAGGGGGAACCGGAAUUCUCGGUGUAGCAGUGAAAUGCGUAGAUAUCGAGAGGAACACUCGUGGCGAAGGCGGGUUCCUGGACAUUAACUGACGCUGAGGCACGAAGGCCAGGGGAGCGAAAGGGAUUAGAUACCCGGGUAGUC
rnacentral:rRNA from 1 species